GACGAACGCUGGCGGCGUGCCUAAUACAUGCAAGUCGAGCGGACAGAAGGGAGCUUGCUCCCGGAUGUUAGCGGCGGACGGGUGAGUAACACGUGGGUAACCUGCCUGUAAGACUGGGAUAACUCCGGGAAACCGGAGCUAAUACCGGAUAGUUCCUUGAACCGCAUGGUUCAAGGAUGAAAGACGGUUUCGGCUGUCACUUACAGAUGGACCCGCGGCGCAUUAGCUAGUUGGUGGGGUAAUGGCUCACCAAGGCGACGAUGCGUAGCCGACCUGAGAGGGUGAUCGGCCACACUGGGACUGAGACACGGCCCAGACUCCUACGGGAGGCAGCAGUAGGGAAUCUUCCGCAAUGGACGAAAGUCUGACGGAGCAACGCCGCGUGAGUGAUGAAGGUUUUCGGAUCGUAAAGCUCUGUUGUUAGGGAAGAACAAGUGCGAGAGUAACUGCUCGCACCUUGACGGUACCUAACCAGAAAGCCACGGCUAACUACGUGCCAGCAGCCGCUGUAA
rnacentral:rRNA from 1 species